UUUUGUUUAAUUUACUUUCCAAAAUAAAUGAUUAGGUCUUUAUAUAAAUCCAAACAACUUUUUCCGAGAACUAGAAACUAUAGAUGCAUAUAAUAGCAGCUGAAUUUGUAUUAGUGCAAAAAUUGAUAUUUGAAUAUAGCAAAUUGUUAAUAUAAGCCGGCGUUUGGAAAAGUGAUCUAUUAGUCGCUCGUCUUUCUUUAUCAAAGCACAGUCUAGCAGCCGAAGCUCAAGAAGAAAUUAUUUAUUUAUGAGUGAUUGAAGAGUUUACUGCAGUUUAAUUUUUGAGUUUUUGAUCGCACGUUGGUGCAAGAAGAAUACUUUUAUAUUCAUCCAGAAUUUUGAAGUUUACAUUUAUAUCUUCUCAAUAGUAACAAAUUAUACAGGACUCGAGUGACAACGCAUGAGUUAUUGUCUAUAAUAUUGGAAUAUUUUAAACGUGAAUCCACGCAGUCCAAGCUAACAAAAUAUUUCUAAACGUAACGCGCGUUUCUGCCAUCGUCAAAUAAAGGCAAAAUCAACCGCAAUGCCAACUACAAGCGAACACGAUAAACAUGAACCUGCUGAGGGAUCGUUACCUCCUAUUAUAGCACCUCCAAAAUUGACAAUUUACGAAGCCUUGCACUACAUUGCCCGAGUAGGAAUUCGCUUUCAA